AUACCCGAAUCGCCGUCUUCCACCAAUUAGGGUUUUUGCCUUUUGGCCUCUCCGGAUUCUACUUUCUGAAGCGAGCGCCUCCAAAGCGAAGGGAAAUGGUGAAGGGACGCCAAGGAGAGCGAGUCAGGCUUUAUGUCAGAGGAACAAUCCUCGGCUACAAGAGGUCCAAGUCCAACCAAUACCCGAACACUUCCCUCAUCCAGGUUGAGGGGGUGAACACCAAGGAGGAGGUUGCAUGGUACGCUGGUAAGCGCAUGGCUUAUAUCUACAAGGCCAAGGUGAAGAAGAAUGGAACUCACUACCGCUGCAUUUGGGGUAAGGUGACCAGGCCUCAUGGUAACAGCGGUAUUGUUCGUGCUAAGUUCAAGUCGAAUCUUCCACCGAAAUCCAUGGGGGCUAGAGUUAGGGUUUUCAUGUACCCCAGCAAUAUAUGAGCUCUCAGGUUGUGUAGAUGCCAGAUGAGCAGGUGACUGAGAGUUAAGCAGAUACUUCUUUAUAUCAGCUAAAUUUAUGUCAGGUUUUGGAGCCAAAUCGUUUUUGUUUAUUAAGCAGGUGUGCGGUGGUGUAGAAAUAAUGAGGAGAAUAGCUCUUUUGAAAUUAUAAAAUAGUUGCAUUGUUAGAGAGAAACUGUGUUGGAUAUUGUUUUGUCAUCGCGCCUGUUAAACUGCCAUGUCAGCGCGUGGAUAAAAAUCCGUGAAUUGGCCCGUAAGAGAUAAAGAUACCGAUAUGAACAUACAUGCAUAAUUCUGCGUGAUCGGCUACGUUAUUUUUAUUGAAGUUAUUUUAUGAGUUUA